CAGUUAUCAUUCCCUGAAUGGCACCAAUCACAGAGGGUUUUUUGAAGAAGAGGACAUCCCAACAGGUCCAUGCAAGGAGACUUGUCGCUGCACAGAUAUGAGUAUUGAGAACCGCUAAGGACGAGUCUACAUUGGCAGUGAAAGGAUCUCCGCCAUUGAAACCGGUCCAGCCCAUCCAAAUAAUCUCUUAUUAGCAUUGGCUGG
rnacentral:misc_RNA from 1 species